rnacentral:lncRNA from 1 species
AAUAAGCAUAGUUAGUUAAUUCGGAUUCGGCAAAAAUACAGUACGGGUAUAAUUCAGAUAAAAUUUGUUUUUUAAUUUUUAAAUUUGUUAAAAAAUACGGCUAAAAAACGGAUUCGGUAAUUAUUCGGAUACGUGAUUUAUACGGAUAUUAUACGUUCACCAAUUAAAAAUUCGGGAUCAAAAAUUUGGCUAUAUAUUAAACAUAUAAUAAUUAAUAUACUAUAUAUAUUACUAUUAUAAUUUUUAUGUAUAGAUUAAACAUAUUCAUAUAUUAAUAAUAAACAUAUAUUAAUAAUAUAUAAGAUUUAUAUAUUUAAAAAUAUAAAUAAAUAAUUACAAAUUUAUAAAUAAA